AACCUUGACCCCUUGUCUGUUCUGAAAUGGAAGGGACAGCCAGGGAAAGGGUGUCAUAGAAGUAAUUAAAGCGGGCUUCCCAGGUUCAAUCCCUGGCUUGGGAAGAUCCCGUGGGUUCCAUCCCUGGGUUGGGAGAAGGGAAAGGCUACCCACUCCAGUAUUCUGGCCUGGAGAAUCCCAUGUAUAGUCCAUGGGGUCACAAAGAGUCGGACACGACCGAGCCGCUUUCACUUUCACUUUCAAAGGUAAAACAGCACGGUCUGAUAGAACAAGUGGCUCCUGUUAACUUUGUAUCAUGACCUGCGGACUAGAGGCGGCUAUGCCUGCACCUGCGGAACCUGUCUGCUGACUGCUGACUUGUAUACGUUAUACAAGUCCAAUGUAUGAGACUAAGUUGCGGUGCUUGAAAUAAACAGUUUCUUUCUAAAUGUUUAGUGAUGUAAUAGGAGACUUUAUCAAGAAUGAUGGGCGGCUUCUAGGGCGAGAAGACGCGAACAGGAUGCCCAUUCCACGGACUCGAUUGUCUCUUCCGCAUCCCUUGUAGCCCUGACUUACUAUGAUCCACGAGUGACCUGAAACUAUUACUGUUCAUCUUGUGGAAAGACUCCCCGAGGCAUGCUGUAGGAGUGGGUCUCCUCCAGGCUUCUCAAAGCACAGAUGCCCCUGGAGGACACAGCAGAACCAGCAGAGGUGCUGUCUCUGAGCCCAGGGACAUGCCAGAGAGGCUGCAGGGAGACCCAGAGGCAAGUAUCCAUUCUAGCAGGCCGUGAUGGCAGCCUCAGUACAGCAGAGGAGCCAAGUCUCGCUUCUGCCCAAAGACGAGUGUAUGCUGCUCAAGUCUUCACCGACCCCAGACUGCAGACUGGUGUCCCAGGAGAUGGCUGUGCUGUUUGCGAAGUUAAAGAGUCACUUCUCCUAGACUGUCUGCAACUCCAUUGGAAGAGAACUUGGGCCUGGAUGUUGCAUGGCAUCCAUGCUGAUGGCCGCCUCUUCACAGAGGGCCACAACAGUUUCUUCCAGGCUUCAGAGCUCACAACCGCCUUUAGAUGAAUGCCUAGGUAGUAGCUUUGCCUCAGUUUGAAACUUUGUUUUCCAAUGGCUAAUCCUGUACCCUGCCCAGUUUCCAAGAUGGUUCUAAUGAUCCUCACUUCUUGAUAUCUAGGCCCUUGCAAAGUCUCCUUCCACGCUGGAUGAGGACUGGCUGAGUGCGGUCAGUGAAAUACGGGGACAGGAUAGCAUGGGACUCCUGAGGCUGGGUCACAAGAGGCGCUGGGGUUUGCACCCUGACCUGUAGCACUUGCCUGGGGGGAGACCGCCUGUCACGUCCUAAUGGUGCUUAAGCAGCCCUAUGGAGAGGCCUGCAAGGAGGGGAACACGGGACCCCAGCCAAGAGGCAGCGAAGACUUGUCAGCCAUGUGAGCGAGCCUUCCUGAAUUCUUGGCAAAGCAGAAACCAUGAGGAAAAAUAAUAAGUGAUUAUUGUUUUAAGUCACUACAUCCUGGGGUGAUUUAUUACAAAUCAUUGGAGUAACUGGAACACCAUUUCUGAGUCACACCAGUCCCCAGCUUCAUUUAUACUGCAGACUUUUCCUGAGCAUCUAUUAUAUGCCAAGCCCUGUGCUAGGCAGGGAGCCAAUGGAUGCUCUACACCCCUUGGGAACACAAAUGAGGAAUAAUAAAUGACCACAGAAGAUCUUAAGCAAAAUACUAUGGGAGUCCAGAGAAGAGAUGAUGCUUGUCUUUCCUUCAUCAAUAACAAUUAUUCAUUCUUUCAAUAAAAUGUAUUGCAUGCUUUCUGGGAA